rnacentral:lncRNA from 1 species
UAUGGCGCCCAACGUGGGGCUGUGAGUCUCUACAUUUGGACUCUGAGCUUCAGUGCAAAAUUGGUGAAUACUUUCUCUCCUUUUCCUUUACUCUCAUUUCAGGGCUUUUCAAGGAGUAUUGUCUUAUUGCAACACUUGCAUGUCAGUUGCUCAGCCCACCGAACCUCACCUAGGCUCUAGAACUUCAUCAGAGGCAUGCUUCUCUUCCAGGAUGUUCAGCACAGAGAGAAGUAUGCAGCCGUUUACAGUCAAAGCGCAAGAGAUGCUUGGAAACUGGUUAACCAGAGCCGCUGAUGACUGUAGAGAUUGCUCAGAGUGUACUGAUUCUCAUUUCCAUUACCGUAACAGAAGGAAACCACAGCCUCAUUGUCUUCCUGGGGGAGAGGAUAGGAGACCCAGGCCACAGUACAGUCCCGGGAUGGAGAUACUCUCAUGCCGGCCCCCUCCAGACACCUAAGAAGCAGCAUCUCAGAAGCUUCCUUGGUAAUGUCCAGACCCUUGAGCUUCUUCUCAGAGGUAGGAAGUAUAUAUUGAAUCUCUUUUCUCUGCAUGAAAUGGGAGUCCAUGUCCAUUAUUUAUACUCACUCAGAAAUAAUUUUU